rnacentral:rRNA from 1 species
GUUGGGAAUAUUGCACAAUGGGCGAAAGCCUGAUGCAGCAACGCCGCGUGUACGAUGAAGGCCUUCGGGUUGUAAAGUACUUUUCUGAAGGACGAGAAAGGACGGUACUUCAGGAAUAAGGAUCGGCUAACUACGUGCCAGCAGCCGCGGUAACACGUAGGAUCCAAGCGUUAUCCGAAUUUACUGGGCGUAAAGCGCGUGCAGGCGGUAUGGCAAGUUGGAUGUGAAAGCUCCCGGCUCAACUGGGAGAGGCCGUUCAAAACUGCCAAACUAGAGGACGGUAGAGGGAGGUGGAAUUCCCGGUGUAGUAGUGAAAUGCGUAGAUAUCGGGAGGAACACCAGUGGCGAAGGCGGCCUCCUGGGCCGUUCCUGACGCUCAGACGCGAAAGCUAGGGGAGCGAACGGGAUUAGAAACCCUGGUAGUCC